GUGAUUUCUUUGUAUCUGCUUAAGGCUGACGGGUAGAGAUAUCAGAUAUAUUUACUGGUGGGAGGUAGUAGGUACGUAGUGGCAUGGGAAGGCUUUAACCUGCUUACUCGAUUUUUUUUCCGUGUGUACUGCAACUUAGAACUCUUUGGAGUGUGAUGUUCAUGUAGCAUGUCAUAUUCCUCCGGGGAUAUUUUAAAAUGAAAUCGUGUUAGUUCAUAGGUUUCUGUGAGUGAUGAAUAAUUUUGGUUUGAAAAAUGGUGAUAGUUUAAGAUAUUUUUCACCUAAGUCUUUUAGC
rnacentral:misc_RNA from 1 species